CCUGGGGCUGUAGUAGGUCCCAAGGGUUGGGCUGUUCGCCCAUUAAAGUGGUACGCGGGCUGGGUUCAGAACGUCGUGAGACAGUUCGGUCCCUAUCCGUCGCAGGCGUAGGAAAUUUGAGAAGACCUGUCCUUAGUACGAGAGGACCGGGAUGGACGUACCUCUGGGGUACCAGUUGUCCUGCCAAGGGCAUGGCUGGGUAGCUAUGUACGGAAUGGAUAAGCGCUGAAAGCAUCUAAGCGCGAAGCCAACUUCAAGAUAAGAUUUCCCACCGCAAGGGUAAGACCCCAGAAAGACUA
rnacentral:rRNA from 1 species